CAAGCUACCAUUCGCACUUGCUCUAUCUGCGGGGUUGAGAAUGAGAGUACUUUCCAUGCUCUUGUUUCUUGCCCAAAGGCUCGUGCACUUCGUUUGGCGUUGAGAAAAGUGUGGAAUUUGCCAGGGGAAGAGGCUUUUAAUUAUACUGGGCCUGACUGGUUACUUAUUUUAUUAGACCAGUUAAGUUGUUCGCAAAGGGAGCACAUCUUGUUUCUUUUCUGGCGAGUUUGGCACUUAAGGAAUGAUUUAAUUUUUGGUAAAGGAAAAGAAACUGUUAUAGGAUCCGCCAUGUUUCUGGAGAGUUACUGGUUGGCAUUUUCAUCGUGUCAGCCUACAAAUGAGGUAGUCACCAAUAACAAAGGAAAAGAGGUGGUGGCUGGUUUUAGUGCAAGUAAUACUGUUGUGAGGUCCAGAGAGGUGUGGCAGACGCCUCCUUUUGGCCACAUCAAGAUCAAUGUCGAUGCAAGUUUUGUGGAGAGUUUAAGUGUCGCGAGCGUUGGGGUGGUGGCCAAGAGCUCUACGGGUGACAUCAUUGUCUCAUCUUGGGACUUCAUUGGGUUAUGCUCUAGUAUGGAUGAAGAGGAGCUUCGAGCAUGCCUAGCUGGGCUUUAUAUAGGUAUUUCUCUUAACAUGCCUAUUAUUUUGGAAACUGAUUGUGCGUUCGUGGCUUCUUUCCUAGCAAAUAAAAGUUGUGACAGAUCCUCGCUCAUAGACCUCAAGAAGGAAGCACUUAGCAUCAUCAAGCUUCUGGAAACUUCAAGUCGUCAAAAAUAA
rnacentral:rRNA from 1 species